rnacentral:pre_miRNA from 1 species
AAGGCCGCGGAAGGCAAGAUGGCGGCGGGCUCCAGCGCCGCCUCUUCCGCCCUGCCGGGCGUCGCA